rnacentral:rRNA from 1 species
AGCAGUAGCCACGGGAAAACAGAGGGUGCAAGCGUUAAUCGGAAUUACUGGGCGUAAAGCGCGCGUAGGUGGUUUGUUAAGUUGGAUGUGAAAGCCCCGGGCUCAACCUGGGAACUGCAUCCAAAACUGGCAAGCUAGAGUACGGUAGAGGGUGGUGGAAUUUCCUGUGUAGCGGUGAAAUGCGUAGAUAUAGGAAGGAACACCAGUGGCGAAGGCGACCACCUGGACUGAUACUGACACUGAGGUGCGAAAGCGUGGGGAGCAAACAGGAUUAGAUACCCCGGUAGUCCCUGUCUCUUAUAC